CCCUGCGCACGGUGGCGCCCUCCCAGGCCCACCCUCCGUCCACAGCUGGGCAGCAUCCACCUGGCUUGGAGGGCACAGGCGCCUCUGGUCCAACCUGGACCCCCAGGGAUGAUGACACAGGCAAGGUGCUCCUCCUGCCCACCCAGCCCCUCCCUCCAGCCACACUGUCCCCUGCUCCUGCCUCUGCUCACGGCACAGCCUAUCAGCCCUAUGCGCUCGCUGCUAUGACGAAGUCCCCGAGGAAAGCUACUCUGUAAAGAAAAGAGGCUUAUUUUGUCUUAUGAUCUAAGAGUUCAAGGUCACAGGCCUCCUCUGGUGACAGCCUCUUUGUGGGCAGAGUCCCCAGGCAACAUGGGACACCACGUGGAGGAAGCAGGGAGCACAUCUUGUCUGUCUGGUCUGUCCCUGCUCUCUCAUGAGGCCACCAGGAGUCCGCCAGCCCCAUCCUGGUGACCUUAUCUACUGCUGAUCAUCUGGCCCCGAAGGCCCCAGCUCUGGACACCACAGACAGAUUGUUUCCACCCUGUUAAUACCUCACGGUGAGGAUCUGAUUUCCACCCAGCCACCCUGAGAGACAGGCACACCAGACCCAAGCCACAGCACGUACUACAGCGUGCUCGGCCCGCGGGACGGGCGGCCGUCCUGCACCGGGAUCAGUGUGAGCCAGCACCUCUGUGGACACUGAGGGCUGGCCUCUGUCCAGCCUGCCUCUCCCUCGCUGCUCCAGGAGGCAUCUCUGCUCCCAGCACCCGUCGCACCCGUGGGGGUGUAGAGCCGAGCGGUCCCACCCCAGCGGUCCCAGCACGGCGCACAGGAAGAAGACGGUUCUUGGGGGGUGAACGGCAGGAGCUGGGGAAGCCCCUGUAGGAUUCUGUUGGGCGGGACCCUGAAGCACAGAAGGGUUCCCCUUUAUGGGGGCACAGUGGCUGGAGGUCCAUGCUCUGGGAUCAGAGGAGAAGUUAAGGGGCUUCUCCUGCACCUCCGUGCCCUCAGGGUCUGGCGUCCUAGGCUGUGCAGGGCUCUGGUUCCCUGGGUCCAGGGAGGCUAGAGGAGAUCGACUCCCAGGGGCACCAGCCCUGCCCAGCAGGGGCCUGCUGUCUCCAGUAGGCGCUCACUGUCCUAAGGACAAGGUCAGUCAGGUCGCCUCUCCUUGGGAAGCUGGGGUGACCCAGGGCCCCCAAACUAACCCCUGCAGUGCCGCAGGCCCUGGGCCAUGUUGGAAGCACACGGUGGCUUCUGGGUGUGUGGCUGCUCUCUUCUUAUGUCACUUGGCACCUCUGAGGAACACUGCUGCAGGUAAUUCCCGAGCAGUGGCCCCCUAUCAGCGGCCUCACUUCCUGCCGUGUUGAUCGCCAUGACCUGAAAAUACUGUAUGGGAAACUCCAAGGUACACAACCCAUAAGUUCUAAGCAGCUUUGACCACCGUGUGUUGCCUGGUUUUUCUAUGACCAGCCGUCGCUGCUUCUCUCUUACUGUCCCUAGUUUAUAAAGUAGCCCUUGUCACAGGUGACAGGGACGCAUUGCAUGAGCAGGUGGCACUAUCUGCAGUGCCAGCCCCCCCCCCCGAGUCUUGGGGUGCAUCCCCAGGACAAGGGGAUGAAUGCAGGCAGAGAGGUGCCAAGGCCCGCCCCAGCCGCGUCCGUCACCCUCAGCAUCACGCCCACCCCACGCCGCGAGCGGCCCACUUCGUUAGUGCUUUUUAUUUAACUUAGGAGAGAAGGAGACAGGAAGGUCUCAGACGACGUGUCCAGGGACACCUUAAGGAACCGAGCAGGAUGCCCCCGAGGGCUGGAGCCUCGCUCCUCUGCUGUCCAAUUCCCCUUCUCCCUCCGCUCCUUCCCCGCGGAGCAGACUCCAGCCUCAGCACCGACACGUCCGUGUCCCCUUCUCCCUCUGGCCUCUAGGGUUGGCCAGGCAAGAGGUGGGGCCUUCUGAUCCACGCAGACAUUCAGGGACCCAGGCUCUCUCUCCUCGGCAUCUGGGCCACUCCCUGGAGCUCCGGAACCCCCACGGGUCCUUUCUGUAGCUGUGGGGACGGUGAGGGAGGGGAGAGGGGACUGUGGAGGAUGACACUUCCCCACUCCCCUAGUCCCUCACGGGAGACCACACCUGGUGCCAAGGAGGCCGCCCAGGGAGGAGGAGCAGGAAGGCUUGAAGGGGAGAAGCUAGUGGUGCCUAUGUGCACACACAUGCACACACAUGCACACACACAUGCACAUGCACACACACAUGCACACAUACACACACGCGCACACACAACACGCACACACAUGCACACACAUGCACAUGCACACACGCACACACACAUGCACACACACACGCACACAGACACACACACCCCUGCACGCACACACACCCUCCCCUCCCUGCCUCGCCCCCUUGGGCCUGCCAUCUCCUGGGGGCGCAGGACCGUUUGCAUAUGGUCACUGUCUGCCACACUUUCCCUGCGUUGCCGGGUUCUGGCCAGGGGAGGGGCCUUUCCUCCUCCCAGCGCCUGUUCGGGUUCUCACCUGAGCAGGUGGAGCUCACUGCUGAGUGCUCGGUCUGCUUUUGAGGAGGAGUCCUGGGGGCAGUGGGCUCAGCCAGUGUCCAGCAGGUUCUCGUUCUCCGCGGGGCUCCUUGCUGGACAGCUCCUCGUGUUCUGUGAGGAUGCUGUACUGCUGGCUCUGAACAUGGACCAUGGCCACAGCGCCGUGACUCACACCCGAGCCAGACACGCCCUCUCCCUGUGGUGCGCCACGGCCUCCCAUGCCCCGGCACCUGCAUCUGCCUCGGCACCGUCCCCAAGGAGAGCGUGGGAAUGUGAACGUCCUGGCACCGUCCCCAAGGAGGAUGCUGGGUAGCCCAGAGAGCAGAAGGCCGAGCUCCGUCUGCUGGACCUCCUGGACACCUGCCCCGGCGACUGGACUUCUCUGCUCCGUGCUCAUCUGUGAUGGCGUGAGCUUGGAAAUGUGAUCUCGGUUGCCAACCAUCUUCCAAGCGGGCAAGUCCCCGGGGAAGGGACCUGAGCCAUGAAGAGGUGCCCUGCUCCCUGGGCCGGGGCGCUCUUUCCCUGGUCACAUCUGUGCACCUGGUCUGGGGUCUUGCCGUGACCGUUGCUUCGGAGGAGCUGGUUCUCUUUUCCAUCCUGGGGGACGCCGUCUCGGCCUGUGCUUCUGGAGACCGGCUUCGCGGCUGGACACAGAGGCCGCGCUCCUUUCUGCCUGGGUCCUGCCUUCGAGGGCAUCUCCCUGCGCCUGGGUCACACUUGGGGCCUUCUCCCUGCGGGCUGGUGGUCGGCUUCGGCCUGGACGUCCUCCUCCUGUCCCUUCUCGUCGCCCCUCACGGGCGCUGUCCUAGAUGCUCGCGGGAUCUUCCGCUCCCCCGCGCCGGCUGUGGCUGCGGGGUCCUCCCUGUUCCUUACCAGUUCUACUCCUCUGUAGCCACGCGUCCUGACUUUUCAUCUGUUUCCAUCACCCUGCGCCGUCUCCUGAAAUCAUUCUUUCCAGUGGCUGUCUGUUCUCGGGCAUCUGUCCUGUGGUUUCCCUCCUGAUGUCGGGGUCUCCAGGAGGCCCCCUUCUUCACGGGGUUUGUCUGUCCCCUGCGGCUCCUUGCUCCCUGCCUUUUCUGUGUCACAGCCUCACCACGGCUCCGGCCCUUUCUCCCCAUCUCCUCCCAGUCGAGUGACAACAGUGGGUCCUUCUGAUCUGAGAGCACGUGAGGGCGUCUUCCUGGACUCCCUUUCGAAGUUAGAGCUGUCUGUCUGUCUGUGUAUCUGCAGAGCUUUCCAGGUGGAAGGCCUCUUCCCGGAGGCUGGGCUCUCUUUCCCUUCCGCCUGUCUCAGACACUCCAGUGGUGGGGACGUUCCACUUUCAGGGAGGGUGGCCCCAACCUGCUGCAUCCCCAUCAGCAAGGACCCCAGCAUGAGGUCCGCUAGGACACCAGGCCCACAGGGCCCUGGCAUGUCCCUGGGAGGGAGAGGUGCGGCCCGGUGAGGGUGAGAGGGCAUGUCCCCCCGGGGUCUCUCGUUUCUCUGGGCACUGUCUGAGAGGGACAUUGCUGGCCUUGGAAGGCACCACAUCUUGCUCUGGAUGCCUUUUGGGGUGGCUCCCCUGUUUUGGCCCUGGAGACUGUGCACCUCGGCAUCAGCCUGCUGUGGGGGAGACUCCUGGCCCUGGGGUUUGACCACCUUGUAAGGUUUUAGCCGGGAACUGGGAAGGUGGGGAAGGGGGAGGCUGCUGGGGAAGGGGUGCCUAUGGCGGCAAGUGCCCCACCCUGCCCUGCCCCUCCCCAGGCAGCAGGCUGCCCACAGGUGCCCAUCCUAGGCUGCAGGUCCGGGGCUGGGGUGUCCCAUGUGGUGGACCCUGGGCUCCACCACUGUACUAAGGCCGCAUUCACAGCAUCCUGGACACUGGCCGGUGGCACACACCACGUCCGGUCUCCAAGCCGGUGGUCAGUGUGGUCCUUGGCAGUCUUGAGGUGGGUGGUGUUUCUGAGCAUCUUUGCUGGGGUGACACACAGAGAGGAAGGGCCAGUAUCUCAGGUGCUCCAGUGGGUGCAGCGAUGGCCACAGCUGGCCCAGAGGCAGCACGUCCCUCCCUCUCCCUCCCAGGCAGGGCACAGGGAGGUUUUCUGUCACCCUAGUUGGCAGAGGGCAGUGUGGGCCACCAGACCCCAGAGCCAGUGAGAGGCAGAGCAGGUGGCCUGGGGACACUCGGCCUUGGCCUGGAAGCCUGCUGGGGGGAGGCCCUAGAGGCUUGCAUUCGACAUACCCACUGAUGGCCUGGUGCCCAGACUGCAGCUGGCAUCUGCCGUGGGCAGCACUGCAUGGGGGCAGCUCUGGGUGGACGCCAUGCAGGGGUGGACCACUCAUUGCCCCGCCAUUCAUCCUGUGCUUUGGGGAAGGCCCUGAGGGGUGAGGUCACAAGGGCUGGCAGACCCUGGUCUGGAAGCAAGCCAGCCCUGGCCAGGUCCAGCUUCCCCAAUCCAAAGAUCCAGAAUCUGAAAGGAUGCAAAAUCCUCAGCGUCCUGAGCACCGACGUGAUGUCGCAUGUGGAAAUUCCACACCAGGAGCUUUGCUCCACACAGAAUGAUGAGAGAUGUGUGAAGUCACCUUCAGGCGAAGCGCGGCAGGUGCAAGUCAAACAGUGAAUCGACGCAGACUUGGUCUCACCCCAGGGACCGUGGGCAGCAUCUGCAGAUAUUCUAGACUCUGGAAACUCUGGAAUCCGAAGCACCUGUGUUCCCAGGCGUUUUGGGGGAGGGAUGCUGGAGCCCCCGCGGGCACAGGGUGAGCCCGGGGUGUCCCCGACCAGGCUGACCUCAGAGGCCCUUGUCACUGGUGUAGGGACAGGGGUCAGUUGGUCGUUGGGUGAGGUGCUCCCUCGCAGCCAGGACGAGGCGUUGGGCCUGGAAGGUUCUCAGGGCCCGCGGAGCGCGGGGCAGCCAUGCCCGAGUCCGCCUUCCGGCCUGCUUGGAGCCCUCCUGGUGGGUGACCCUCAUUAAGGCGCAGGCAGGGCUCAUUUUUGUGGCAGGUCUCGUCUGUCUGAGCCAGAAGCCCGGGACACCUUCGAGAGUGGCGGCCGGUGACACCUGCUCUUGGGCCCGGAGGCACAAGGGUGCCUUGUGGAGGGAGGGCCUCCGCGGUCAGUCCCCACUGGGGCAUAAUCACUUCUGGGAUUUUCUGAAGACCACUUCCCUUCACUUUGUUCAAAACCCACAAAGCCCCGGGAGUCCGAGGCCAGAAAUCCCACGGGCGUGAGUUCUCAGCAACAAAGCAGACAUUGUUCCCGCGUGCGGUCCCUUGUGGGCCAGUCCUCUGUCUAGCUGGGGACUCGAGCAGCUUCUGGAAUCCUGCCCAGAGGAGCCUCGUGGAGCUGCCAGCGGGUCCAUCCCGGGGCCCCAUGCUGGCCGGCUGGGUGACAGUGCCUGGGGAGGUUGCCGGGCUGCCCUCCACUGCCCCGUAUGGACCCUCACCCAGGUGUGGUCUGAACCCAGGCCCCUCGUCCAGUGCGACUGAAGCUUUAGCCUUUGAGUAACAGCCUCGGGCAGGGCGGCCACCCCUCCAGGAGCCCUUGGUCCUGGCUGAGCAGGGACCCGGGCUGGGUGUAGAGGCCACGCAGGGAGUGGAAGGUGGGCCGAGGCACGUGGAGGGCGCGUUUCUGGUCAUUCCAGAGACACAGUGGCUGGCGCUGCCAAUCCACGUGGCCUCCACAAAGAAGUGGCAGGUGCCCAAAUCAGUGCCCACAGUGCGCUCUUCUGUGGUUUGGUUUUGGAGGACACGAACGCGGAAGUGGGAACGCAGCUGGGCCCAGGCUUGCGGCAGCUCAGUUCCUCCCGGGUGCUGAGAGGCGCGUCCCAGGGACACCUAAGAAGAAACGCGCUGGCCCGCCACGCCCCUCUGGGGUCCUCGGGGCAUCGGACGCCAGCCCCGAGCUCCCUCCUGCCAGCCUGGUCGUCCAUCGUCCCAUGACGGCAGGCGCCCAGGCAGAGGGGCAGGGCCGGCUGCUCCUGGGGAACAGGGAGUCUCUCCUGUGUUAAAUAAAUGCAUGUUGGAGCUGAA